rnacentral:rRNA from 1 species
CGACCGGCGCACGGGUGAGUAACGCGUAUCCAACCUGCCUUACACUCUUGGACAGCCUUCUGAAAGGGAGAUUAAUACAAGAUGUUAUCAUGAGUAAGCAUUUUCGCAUGAUUAAAGGUUUACCGGUGUAAGAUGGGGAUGCGUUCCAUUAGAUAGUAGGCGGGGUAACGGCCCACCUAGUCUUCGAUGGAUAGGGGUCUGAGAGGAAGGUCCCCCACAUUGGACUGAGACACGGCCAA